rnacentral:lncRNA from 1 species
CUCAAGAUCAAGUCCAUCAAUAACAUGGUCUUCUGAUAAGUUUCUACAGAAAAUAAAAAAGUAUCAGUAAUGACAUAUCACUAUUAUAUAUUGAUUCAACAAACCUACAGAUUUGACAAGCACAAAUAUGUCACAAAACAAGUACGUAAUGUGCACGGUUGGUAACCAUAUAUCUCGUUUAUGAACAACUAUCAAAAUCUAAAUAGUUAAAUAUACAUAAAAUAUAAAAAAAUAAACGUAUCGGCCACAAGAAAGAAAAAAGAAUGUAGAGAAUUAAUACAUCCAUUGCAAAAGAAAAUGUAUCUCAGUUUUGGUUUGUUAUGUUAACCAUGAUAAAGAGAGCAAAAAAAGCUUAUUUUUUUCUUAUAGUUUAGUUUCGUAACUAAGCAAAAUAUAAUAGAUAAACAAAUAAUUAAAAAUAACUUUUUGAGUUGGCUGAGUCGAUUUAACCAUUUUUUCCACCAUCAAACACGUGUGCGCACGAGAGAGAGACGUAUCCAUUGUGUUCCUUUCAAUCUAAACAUCAGCAACAAAACAAGCUUUUAGCAGUAUUCCUUGUGUUGUUCUUCGUCUAUCUUCCUUUAGUAUCCAUUGC